rnacentral:tRNA from 1 species
CGGGCCGUAGCGCAGCUUGGUAGCGCACUAGCCUGGGUGUCUAGGUGGCGCAGGUUCAAAUCCUGUCGGCCCGACCA